rnacentral:rRNA from 1 species
UGCUUUACCUGCAGUCGACGGUAACAGGUCUUCGGAUGCUGACGAGUGGCGAACGGGUGAGUAAUACAUCGGAACGUGCCUAGUAGUGGGGGAUAACUACUCGAAAGAGUAGCUAAUACCGCAUGAGAUCUACGGAUGAAAGCAGGGGACCUUCGGGCCUUGUGCUACUAGAGCGGCUGAUGGCAGAUUAGGUAGUUGGUGGGGUAAAGGCUUACCAAGCCUGCGAUCUGUAGCUGGUCUGAGAGGACGACCAGCCACACUGGGACUGAGACACGGCCCAGACUCCUACGGGAGGCAGCAGUGGGGAAUUUUGGACAAUGGGCGAAAGCCUGAUCCAGCAAUGCCGCGUGCAGGAUGAAGGCCCUCGGGUUGUAAACUGCUUUUGUACGGAACGAAAAGCCUGGGGCUAAUACCCCCGGGUCAUGACGGUACCGUAAGAAUAAGCACCGGCUAACUACGUGCCAGCAGCCGCGGUAAUACGUAGGGUGCAAGCGUUAAUCGGAAUUACUGGGCGUAAAGCGUGCGCAGGCGGUUUUGUAAGACAGUGGUGAAAUCCCCGGGCUCAACCUGGGAACUGCCAUUGUGACUGCAAAGCUAGAGUGCGGCAGAAGGGGAUGGAAUUCCGCGUGUAGCAGUGAAAUGCGUAGAUAUGCGGAGGAACACCGAUGGCGAAGGCAAUCCCCUGGGUCUGCACUGACGCUCAUGCACGAAAGCGUGGGGAGCAAACAGGAUUAAAUACCCUGGUAGUCCCCGCCUAAACGAUGUCAACUGGUUGUUGGGUCUUAACUGACUCAGUAACGAAGCUAACCCCGGAACCUGAACCG